rnacentral:rRNA from 1 species
CAGUAGCCGCGGUAAUACGAGGGGUGCAAGCGUUAUUCGGAUUGAUUGGGUGUAAAGGGUGUGCAGACGGCUUAUUAAGUCACUUGUUAAAUUCUUCGGCCUAACUGAAGGUCUGCAAGUGAUACUGAUGAGCUAGAGGGUGGAAGAGAGAAGUGGAAUUCUCGGAGUAGCGGUAAAAUGCGUAGAUCUCGAGAGGAACACCAAUGGCGAAGGCAGCUUCUUGGUCCAUUCCUGACGUUCAUACACGAAAGCGUGUGGAGCAAACAGGAUUAGAUACCCCUGUAGUCCCUGUCUCUUAUAC